rnacentral:lncRNA from 10 species
GCAAUGGCUGAAAAUGGAGAUGAAGAGUUUCACUCUCAGAGGAGGAUUUUGUUCUUCAAUUGUGGAGUGAUCUCUAUCACCAGUGACUAAAGAUGUUGGAGCACAGAGAGCCAUACCCCAAAAUAUGAUGCUUCGGCAUGCUGACUGCUUUGAAAAUUGAAAGGCCUCAGAAAUAAUCCUCAGUGCCAGGGUCUCCCUCUGACCUCCCCCUACCUCCCUUUCUCUCUGAUCCUGUCUCUCCCAAAGCACAGAAUGAAGCUGUUCUCUGAAUUCCCUUAUCUACCUAGAAACUGGACCCCCAAAGAGGAACACAAUUUGCCUUUGAUCCCUUCCCUGAAAUUUCAUUAACCAGAGAAAAUUAAAACUUCUAUCACAAAGGAAGAGACUGAACAUUAAACACCAUAGCUACAGCCCAGACAAACUUCUUCCCAAACCAUUGUUUGUUCUCCUGCCUGUUAAAUUGCCAGAGAAUCAUUCACAAGAUAAAGUCUGCCUUCUGGGUCCAUUCAUUCCCCACUAAAAAUCUUUUACUCCUACACCCUCAUGUCUCCUUCCUCCAUGAAGAAGGGUCUAUAAACCUCUAGGCCUCAUUGGGUUAUUGGGUAAUCAUUCUCAUGCAGUUCCCCUGUGCUCUGCAUGUUAAAUAAAUUUGUAUGCCUUUUUCUCCUA